UUAGAGAAAACUGCCGUGGAAAACUCGCCCAGAAGCUAGCAAGUGUCAAGUGAAUCCACAACAUCACCACAAACGUUUUUUCAAGCCAGAAGUGUUCAUGGAUAACAUUAGCAGUGGAGAGGAAGGAGAGGAGGAAGACUGGAUAGGAAGAAGAGUGAAGGAGACAGAGGAGGAAAGAUUGGAGAGGAAGGAGAAGGAAACAUUUAAGGGAGUAAAAAGAGUGAAGCAAGGAGAGUGUAGAAGAGUGAGGUGAAGGAAAGGAAGACGAGUGAUGAAAAGAGGAGGAGAAAGAUUGGAGGAGAAGAAAAAGUUAAGAGAGUAAGAAGAGUGACACAAAGAGAGUGAAGAAGAACAGACAGAGGAUAAAGUUUAACCCCAAAGUUCAAGUUGUCCCAUUAUUCAAAGGAGUCCAUCUUCAGAGUGCAUAGCGAUAAUAACUGUGAAACACCUAUAUCAUUUUCAACAUUUGAUUAAUGACCAGCCAACUGUAAAGGUCCUGAUGUUCCAGAAUUAUUUGGCUUGCCACGCUAAUUAUGUUCUACUUACAAAACAUUGUAUUUAUCAAGAAAAAAAACUGUGCUUAAAAAUGAUAAAUGUUAAUGAUCUGAAGUAUAGUAUCAUUGGUAAAGAUUAUGAAUAUGUAUCAUUGGUAAAGAUUAUGAAUAUGUGUGUGCACUUUUGAUGAUAAUCAAAUGCAGCUUUGUUCAACAACAUUGUUUAAUAUGAAAGCUCAACAGACAGAAGGGUAUUUCUGCAUGAUCCCUCACUAUCUUCUCGAUUUAGUCUCUUUGCCUGUAUGUUUGAGUUUAUUUUAUUUUUACAGGGACAGUGCACAUUAAUCUAUAUUUCAGUAAAAGUGUCGGUUUUAGCCAGCCGGCUAAUAUUCAACCACAGUCCCUGGGAACGUUAUUAAAAACAAUUACAAUAUAGACAAUCAUUGAGCAGUGAGCAGUGAACACACGCAGAGCAACAUAGGACAAGCAAGACAUAGCAUACAGACAGAGCAACAUAGGACAAGCAAGACGUAGCAUACAGACAGAGCAACAUAGAACAAAAAGCAGCAAGACAAAAUCCAUAAAAGCAACAAAGUGUUUCCACACCUCACAAGCUACAGACAACAUUGAAAGCGGCAAUACACAGCUAGGGAUUAUGUUCACAAAUCUGAUUGACCUUUAGCCAUGUCUUCAUGCAUUUUGUGAAAGUGUGAUAUGUGGUGCAGUUAUGUGUGUCUGAUGGCAGUGUAUUCCAGACAUGGGAAGCUCUCACAGAGAAAGCGGAUUUACUAAAGGUGCUUUUCCUUAAGGGAACUAUACAGUCACCUCUCAUGGCAGACCUUGUGGAUCUGCUGCCAUAUGUUUGGGUUUUCUGUUUAACAAAAAUAAUGAGUGGAGGGGGAGCCAGGCCAUUUAGGAUCUUGAAUACAAGACAUGCAUCGGUGUAUUGCACAAGAUUUUCCCAACUCAGAAACUCAUGCUUUCUGAGGAUGUAACAGUGAUGAUGGCUGUUGGGCUUCCUAUCAAGCACGUUGAGAGCCUGUUUGUAGACAGACUGAAUAGGUUUUAAUGUUGUACAGCAAGCUUGGGCCCAACUAGUCAAGCAGUAUGUUAAGUGGGGGAGUAUCAUAGAUUUGAAGUACAGUUUUGCUACCUCUGUAGUCAAACAAUUUCCUAUAAAUCGGAAAUGAGCUAGGUUGAAUUUGGUUAUCUGAAUUACCUUUUUCACAUGCUUUUUAAAAGAGAGGUUGGAAUCAAGUAUGAUGCCAAAUUACUUCAAACCAGAUACCACCUGGAGCUUCUCCCCUGACACAUAGACAUCUGGCUCAGUAGCAUCUGUUGCCCUCUUUGUGAAGAACAUGCAAACAGUUUUUUUCACAUUGAGAUGCAAACACGAGUCACUAAGCCACUUUGUAACCUGGACCAUUACAGUAGUGAGUUCUUGUGCAGCUUGUUGUUUGCUCUUUGCAUGCACAUAUAUCACUGUAUCAUCUGCAUACAUUUGAACUUCAGACCCAGUACAGACAGAAGGCAGAUCAUUAAUGUACAGGCUGAACAGGAGGGGCCCCAGUAUUGACCCUUGGGGAACGCCCACAUCAUAGCUAAGAGUGGGCGACAGCUCAUUGCUCACUCUGACACACUAGUUCUGCCUUCAAGGCAUGAUUUCAUCCAUCUCAAGGCAUCGGGGGGAAAGUUGAACUUGGACAAUUUUGUGAUGAGAAUAUCAUGGUUAACAGUAUCAAAAGCCUUCCUUAGGUCCAGAAGCACAGCCCCAACAAUGCCCCCUUUGUCCAUCUUGGACUUCACAUUUUCCAGAAGAAAGCAAUUGGCCGUUUCUGUGGAGUAUUUCGCUCUGAAGCCAAACUGCAUGGAGUGUAAUGUGAAGGGGCUGUUGUUAAGGUGGGCAAUCAGUUGUUCUGCUACACACUUUUCAACAACCUUUGACACCACAGGUAGUAUACUAAUGGGCCUGUAGUUACUCACAGGGUCGUCCGAUUUAAAGAUGGCUGUUAUUAUGGCCGACUUCUACACCCUUGGAAACACCCCGAGACCAAUAGAUGUGUUGGUGACCUUAGUAAUGGGGCCAAUGAGUGACUCUUUGUAGUUUUUAAGAAAGGUAGAGUCCAGCCCAAACACAUAUUUGGCUUUAAAGGUUCUUUAGUGAGCUAAUCACCUUUUUCACCUUUGACUCAGAAACCUCCCUUAUGAUGAAGACAGGUUGAGCGUCAUUCACUAGCACUGAGCCCAAGAAAACAGUGGAUGGGUUCUGUGUCAGUACCCUGACAGAGUCAAUAAAGUAGGAAUUGAAGGCUAUUGCUAUUUCGGCUGCAUCCUGUGUUAGAUUGUUAUUCACCAUGAUUUCUAU